rnacentral:rRNA from 1 species
UACGAAGGGUGCAAGCGUUACUCGGAAUUACUGGGCGUAAAGCGUGCGUAGGUGGUUUGUUAAGUCUGAUGUGAAAGCCCUGGGCUCAACCUGGGAACGGCAUUGGAAACUGGCUUACUAGAGUGCGGUAGAGGGGUGUGGAAUUCCCGGUGUAGCAGUGGAAAUGCGUAGAUAUCGGGAGGAACAUCUGUGGCGAAGGCGACACCCUGGACCAGCACUGACACUGAGGCACGAAAGCGUGGGGAGCAAACAGG